rnacentral:lncRNA from 1 species
CAUUCUCUCACUGUCCACCAGAAGUUGCACAAAAUGAUGAAGAAGUCGGCCUUAAGGACCAACAAUCUGAGGACCAACCAGCAGCUGCCGUCUCCACACCCAGCACUGACAUUGACCCAGACAGUCUGUGUGCAAAUUGUUUCUACCAACUACCUGCUAAUCGGCAUAAUAGGCAUUCCAAAAAUGUAUCUUUAAUUCCAACUUCUUCUUCUGUUGUCGAUCCAAAACACGCAUGUGCAGAGGGCAAUGAUGUGGUGUACAGCCUCGCUCAACUAUCCAAAAAGGAACCUGAAUACACAGGACAAUGUAAACCAAAUGACUCCCACAGCAUUGAAAGUUAUGCUAUAUAUACCACUCUGAGUGAAAUCCAUAAAAAUAGAUGUAGAAGAAGAACAGAGAGAACAAAAGCCCGACACCAAGGCCUGUCACUGUUUUAAGGGCUAUAUCAGCCAGACAUCGGUCCAUUUCCAUUUGUACUCAUCUGCCAUGUUUGCUUUCAGAGACAUGAAGUCAUUUACUAUUUGAGUCAUAGCUGGAAUUUGCAGGAGGAGGAGGAGUCAUUUUGAAAAGAGAUUUUGUGAUUAUUGUUCUUAUAUUCUUGGUUUGUAAAAGAUCAUGAAGAGAUUCACGUUAUCAUCGUCAUCACCCAC